rnacentral:rRNA from 1 species
UAAGCGGAGGAAAAGAAACCAACAGGGAUUGCCCCAGUAAUGGCGAAUGAAGCGGCAAGAGCCCAAAUUUGAAAUCGGGCAACCGAGUUGUAAUUUGGAGACGGGACACUAGAGAGGAGGAAGGCGAUUAAGUGCCUUGGAACAGGCUGCCGUAGAGGGUGAGAGCCCCGUGAAUCGCUGGAGACCGAUCAAUUAGUGCCCGCCGAAGAGUCGAGUUGUUUGGGAAUGCAGCUCUAAGUGGGUGGUAUAUUCCAUCUAAGGCUAAAUAUUAGCGAGAGACCGAUAGCAAACAAGUACAGUGAUGGAAAGAUGAAAAGAACUUUGGAAAGAGAGUGAAAUAGUACGUGAAAUUGUUGAAAGGGAAGGGUAUUUGAUCCGACAUGGUGUUUAGCAGCGGCCCGUUCCUCGUGGAUGGGUGCACCUGGUUUACACUGGGCCAGCAUCGGUUCUGGGAGCCAUAUACGGGGUUCGUGAAUGUGGCCCUUCGAUUCUGUCGGAGGGUGUUAUAGCGCGGACAUCUUGUGGCUAGCCGGGACCGGGGACUGCGGUGACUUGUCACCAAGGAUGCUGGCAGAACGAGCAAAUACCACCCGUCUUGA